GAUGAACGCUGGCGGCGUGCCUAAUACAUGCAAGUCGAGCGAACAGACGAGGAGCUUGCUCCUCUGACGUUAGCGGCGGACGGGUGAGUAACACGUGGAUAACCUACCUAUAAGACUGGGAUAACUUCGGGAAACCGGAGCUAAUACCGGAUAAUAUAUUGAACCGCAUGGUUCAAUAGUGAAAGACGGUUUUGCUGUCACUUAUAGAUGGAUCCGCGCCGCAUUAGCUAGUUGGUAAGGUAACGGCUUACCAAGGCAACGAUGCGUAGCCGACCUGAGAGGGUGAUCGGCCACACGGGAACUGAGACACGGUCAAGACUCCUACGGGAGGCAGCAGUAGGGAAUCUUCAGCAAUAGGCGAAAGCCUGACGGAGCAACGACGCGUGAGUGAUGAAGGUCUUCGGAUCGUAAAACUCUGUUAUUAGGGAAGAACAAAUGUGUAAGUAACUAUGCACGUCUUGACGGUACCUAAUCAGAAAGCAACGGCUAACUACGUG
rnacentral:rRNA from 1 species